CUCUGUCCUCAAUUUCCGUCCCGGAGCUCGUCUCCCCCGUCCAGCAGUCGAUGCCCACCUCGCGCGACCACUCCUCCCGGAGCUCUGCCUCGCGCGACCACGCAUCAUCGCCGGCCGCCGUCCCUACCGCAUCUCCCUGAGCUAGCAGCCUCCUUCCUCUGGCCCAAGUUGCUCGUAGCCUCCUUCCUCCGGCACACGCAAGCACGCACGCUGGCCCAAGCACCCAGGCUGUGCGUAGCCGGGAGGAAGCAGGACGCGGCCGGCCAAGGUCAGCGGCUGGAGCGUGCCAUGGCGUCCAGCGAGCGAGAUGGCCGCUGGCGGUCAGUGAUCUGACCAGAUCCGAGCUCGCCGGACUGGUGGCGGCGCGCUGAAGGCAGGGGCACACCAGGUGUUCGAUCAAAUGCGUGCCCUUGGAGAUGCGCUAACCAAUCUUGUUUUUGGCCGUGGCUCCGUCAGCAUCGAGUAUGGUGACGGCGGCGCUUCCCGAGGAAAAUCAGCGGCGCCAUCCAGUUUACCCGAUGAAGUGUUGUCAUUGUAAACCUUGUACCUCCACUCGAGGCAGCAAUCAGGGGUUUUCCUCGAGGAGCAAAUUCUGCAACCUGUACUUGUGGGAGAAUGUUUUCGGUAUCAGGAAAGUGUCACCAAAACGUCCCAGGGAUUGUUUGCAGUUGUGCAGGCAAGCCAGACAGGGAGAACAAGUUCAUCCACUAGAACAAAGUGCCCUGCGAUGCUAAGCCUGUUAAGGACGGAAGAUGGAGGGUGGUAUUGGUAUUUAUGUGCGCACAGGGUGUUGCAUAACCAUGAACUCCUCGGAACUUGUAGUGCACGUGGGGUUCCUAAUCUUGAAGUCAGAAGGGCCUUCACGACCGGAGCAAGCGCCACCCGGACCAGAUUGGCAUUUCACUUGAGAUGGUGUUCUGAUGACCUCCUGAAGUAUGGAUCCGCCUGCUUCUGUAUCGAGCGAUGGUCGAUGGCAAUGGUUAUGCGGAUUGCGGAACAUGCGUUUUCCGUAACUGCGCACACGCUACGAUAUUUUCGAAGUAUUGGUUUGCACAAAUACUACAUACAAGAUUGCACAUCCCUUCACCCAGAAGAAAGUUCCCCUACAGAAAUGCCGAAGGGAAACUCGACGAGGCAUGGAUCACAUACCUUGUUUG